CGUAGACACAUCUCUGGGAAUGGAUGACCAGGCCAGGCCAGGCCAGGCCAGAACGGAAGAGGCCAAAACAGAGCCAGCACCGGUCCAGUUCCAGAGAAGAGAGAGCACUGCGUGUGCUUAGUAAAAAUUUAUGGGCAUGAGGUUUCUGGAACAGGAACGAGAGGACGGGAAGGGUCCUCCAAGUGGCGGCAUCAUUUGGCCAUUGUCCGGCCAGGAGCCCAGUCCUUGCUAUUCAUUGCGCGCCCCUCUGCCCCACGGAUGCUGCUGCCGCAUGGAAGUGAUUAACAUUAAAUCAUACAGACGGGGGGGUCAUAUCUUUGGCGGACACACCUGACAGCCGCUCGGAACGGCUUCAAUCUCUCUGGAAGGUAGGAUCUCCAUCUUGUAGGCCCCUUCCCGGACCCGCCGGACAAUUACACUUUGCGGCCCAUCCUCAUUCAUCCAUUUUCACGCACGUACAAUUUUUUCGCACACAAUUUUCACCUUUUGCGUGGAAAACCCC